ACCCGCUGAACUUAAGCAUAUCAAUAAGCGGAGGAAAAGAAACCAACAGGGAUUGCCCUAGUAACGGCGAGUGAAGCGGCAACAGCUCAAAUUUGAAAUCUGGCUCUUUCAGAGUCCGAGUUGUAAUUUGCAGAGGGCGCUUUGGCGUUGGCAGCGGUCCAAGUUCUUUGGAACAGGACGUCACAGAGGGUGAGAAUCCCGUACGUGGUCGCUAUCCUUCGCCGUGUAAAGCCCCUUCGACGAGUCGAGUUGUUUGGGAAUGCAGCUCUAAAUGGGAGGUAAAUUUCUUCUAAAGCUAAAUACUGGCCAGAGACCGAUAGCGCACAAGUAGAGUGAUCGAAAGAUGAAAAGCACUUUGGAAAGAGAGUCAAAUAGCACGUGAAAUUGUUGAAAGGGAAGCGCUUGCAGCCAGACUUGCCUGUAGUUGCUUAUCCGGACUUUUGUCCGGUGCACUCUUCUAUAGGCAGGCCAGCAUCAGUUUGGGCGGUUAGAUAAAGGUCUCUAUCACGUACCUCUCUUCGGGGAGGCCUUAUAGGGGAGACGUCAUGUAACCAGCCUGGACUGAGGUCCGCGCAUCUGCUAGGAUGCUGGCGUAAUGGCUGU
rnacentral:rRNA from 1 species